UUUGAGGGGAAUGUUGUCUGGCUCGAGGACACUUUUCCUUUACUUUGGCUUUCUGUGAAUCUGAUUAUGAUUCUAAUGGAUUUGGGAUUUUGCUAGUGUCGUCGGACCAGGCUUCAUUCCCCCCAAU
rnacentral:pre_miRNA from 1 species